AGGAGCAGGGGGCCGCGGGGUUGGCAGCGGGAAAUGGCAGCCUGCGAGGCCGUGGGGGCAGCCCCCCGUGUUCAGCGUGGGGUUUGAAGGGGCAGGCAUCUCUUCAGUGUCCGUCACAGCUUGUUUCUCCGCAGGCAGCAGCUCCUGUUUUUUGCGAGAUCUUUUCCAGCGCCUACAUUUCAGUUGUGCAGAGCUGUGUGAGGCGGGGAUGCUCUUCUGGGCAGCCGAAGCAGGGAAGCGCAGGGCCAAAAUCCAUGACCUACAGCAGCGACCUUGUGUCUAACAAGGCUCAGAAGGAGACUGAGGAGUCAUGGCAGAAGACCACAGGUGCAUAUUAAAGAGUCACAUGUUCUAGUUCAAGAGGCUCCCUGCCGUAUCAGGGAAUGCCAGGUGAGAUGUGAACAUCCAACAGCCACUUUGCAGCGCCCGUGGUCCCUAUGGAGACAAACGCUGCCAUUUCUCUGGAAAGUCUGAAUCAUCUUGCACCGCAAGAAAACAACGAAGUGUCAUUGCUAGUCAGGUAUUUUACAAAUAUUUCCACACAAACCAACAGACAGGAUGAGCUUGAGCUCAGGAGUUUCGAGCAGGAAGGACUUGACUGGAUGUUAAAGAAUUUUCUUGGACAUGGAUUUGUCAGGGAGGGGAAUGAAACUGCAGGAGUCAGGACGUUUCUAGUCAAAAGCACAUCAGUGUGGAACAAACAGCCCCCCUUUUAAUGAGCAUGCAUGUCGCAAGAGGCAGGAUUAUAGUUUAUGGCAUAGAUCUGCCUAGCUGGGGAGGUGGUGAAAUGAAGUCCUUCUCAACGGGUGCUGCUCCACCAGUAGGUUUGUAGAUCGGGCAGAUCUCUUCCCAACCCAUUUGCAAGGGAAUGAGUGUGAUGGGGAGCCAGAAAAUAUUUUUCUUGAGUUACUUGGGACUCACAGCAAAAAACAUUAAGCGAGAAACGGCCAACACUAACCCACACAGAUGUUUCUUUUGGGCAGAAACAUGCCAGUUUUGGAGGGAAGUGGCUCUGGAUGCCUGCAGCCCCCCGGAGCCACCACCAUGCCGGGUCUCUGACACAGGCCCUGCCCACUGAACACCUUCUUGAGGCGGGGUGUGUGUGUGUCAGUUUUAUCCGCAGGGCUGCGGGGACAACCCCGGUUUUGUACCGAGGCCGCCUUUCAGGCCGGUUAAGAACCGAGCUUUUAUCGGGCACCAGCCACAAGGCGGGAAGGGGGAGCGGCGCGCUCGCGGAACGGCGGGCGCCGGCAGCGGCGGCGGGCGGACGGCGGUAGCGGGGCACCGGUGCGCUUCCGGCCGCCGGCGG